GACGAACGCUGGCGGCGUGCUUAACACAUGCAAGUCGAACGGAAAGGCCCUGCUUUUGUGGGGUGCUCGAGUGGCGAACGGGUGAGUAACACGUGAGUAACCUGCCCUUGACUUUGGGAUAACUUCAGGAAACUGGGGCUAAUACCGGAUAGGAGCUCCUGCUGCAUGGAGGGGGUUGGAAAGUUUCGGCGGUUGGGGAUGGACUCGCGGCUUAUCAGCUUGUUGGUGGGGUAGUGGCUUACCACGGCUUUGACGGGUAGCCGGCCUGAGAGGGUGACCGGCCACAUUGGGACUGAGAUACGGCCCAGACUCCUACGGGAGGCAGCAGUGGGGAAUAUUGCACAAUGGGCGGAAGCCUGAUGCAGCCACGCCGCGUGCGGGAUGACGGCCUCCGGGUUGUAAACCGCUUUCGCCUGUGACGAAGCGUGAGUGACGGUAAUGUGUAAAGAAGCACCGGCUAACUACGUG
rnacentral:rRNA from 1 species